rnacentral:rRNA from 1 species
UACGGGGGGGGGCAAGCGUUGUUCGGAAUUACUGGGCGUAAAGGGCUCGUAGGUGGCCAACUAAGUCAGACGUGAAAUCCCUCGGCUUAACCGGGGAACUGCGUCUGAUACUGGAUGGCUUGGAUUUGGGAGAGGGAUGCGGAAUUCCAGGUGUAGCGGUGAAAUGCGUAGAUAUCUGGAGGAACACCGGUGGCGAAGGCGGCAUCCUGGACCAAUAUUGACGCUGAGGAGCGAAAGCCAGGGGAGCAAACGGG